rnacentral:misc_RNA from 1 species
GAUGAAGAACGUAGCGAAAUGCGAUAAUUAAUGUGAAUUUCAGAAUUUAGUGAAUCAUCGAAUCUUUGAACGCACAUUGCGCCCCUUGGUAUUCCGGGGGGCAUGCCUGUUCGAGCGUCAUUUCAACCCUCAAGCACUGCUUGGUCUUGGGCCACGCCGGCGACGGCAGGCCUCAAACGUAGUGGCGGCACCAUCGGUUCCCUCAGUGUAGUAAUAUCUCUCGCUGCUGGGCCCUGGUGGUCGCUAGCCAGCAACCUCAAUUUUUUCUGGUUGACCUCGGAUCAGGUAGGGAUACCCGCUGAACUUAAGCAUAUCAAUAAGCGGAGGA